UUAGAAGUCAAAUGCAUGCAAAUCCGUCUUGAGAAGAGCCCCUGCGGACCCCAUGCCCAAGCUGCUCUCUCUCCCCAGUUCAGAUCUCCCCAGGACGGUGACCAUGGCCCCACAGCUGGGCGCAGACAGAGCGCCAAGGCCAGGUGGAAAAGUGGCCAUCUCCUCCCUCCUUGGACCUCCGACCUAAACAGGAGGGGCAAUAAGCCAGUCAGGGGACACCGUGAUGAGCCAGAAAAGGCUGUUACACUUUAUUCUCAAUAGUGACCGCGUCGUCACUGGAUAGUGACCUGGAGGUGGUGAUGUUGCAGCCAGACGUGGAAAUGACAGGGGCUAAGUGUGCCCACAUUCCAUAAUGAAGUGCUACCAGUGAUCUACAGCUGUGUCCUAAGUCACCCCAAAACCUAGUGACUUAAAACAACCAUACGCAUGUGUCAUCUCAGUUUUUGUGACUUGGGGAUCCAGCACAGCUCAGCUGGGUGGCUCUGACUUGUCGUCUUUUGCAGGAUGCAGUCUAAACGUUGCCCAGAUGCCCGUGUUCAUUAGGCGCUGGUCACCCGAGCCGAGAGGUGGGAUCAGCAGAGGUGCCCCCUCCCCAGCAGAUGGAUGCACAAAGAAAAGACCGGAGUCUGCGUCCCUCAGCCGUGGAGAAGAAAGGGAUUCAGACAUUUGCAGAAAAAUGCGUGGACCUGGAAGGUCUCCCAGCAGGAGGAACAAGCCAGACACAGAAGGAGGAGCACCUCUCCUUCUCUCUCAAAGGCAGAAGCUAAAAAAAGUCAACCUGAAAGUGGCCCAGUGAUUUCUAGAGAUGGGGAAGGUGUGGGGCGAGGGGAGGGUGGAAAGGAGGCGAGGUGUGCUCAGCGGGUGCUGGGUGCAGGCUCGGAAAUACCAG
rnacentral:lncRNA from 1 species